rnacentral:rRNA from 1 species
UACGGAGGGGGCUAGCGUUGUUCGGAAUUACUGGGCGUAAAGCGCACGUAGGCGGCUUUGCAAGUCAGAGGUGAAAGCCCGGGGCUCAACCCCGGAAUUGCCUUUGAGACUGCAUCGCUAGAAUUGUGGAGAGGUAAGUGGAAUUCCGAGUGUAGAGGUGAAAUUCGUAGAUAUUCGGAAGAACACCAGUGGCGAAGGCGACUUACUGGACGCAUAUUGACGCUGAGGUGCGAAAGCGUGGGGAGCAAACAGG